GAGCGCGCGGGGCCGCGCCGCCGACAGCGGGUACGGUCCGGAGGGACGGAGCGGCUCCUGCGAGACGGCUGGGGCGGGGCGGGGAGGGGCGGGGCGGGGCGGGGCGGGGCGGGGCGGGGAAGCCCGGGCGCCGGGCGGCGCGGGACCUCGGGUCCCCGGCCGUGGCUGCGUGGGAAGCGGCUCAACUCGGUGCACUUGUUCACUCUUUCUUCAUUGGAGGAGGAGCCAGUGUUGCAACCUUCAUGUUCCUUGCUGGAGGCAAAACAGUGAUUUUCUGCAGCAGGCGAAUGUCCAGAGCCUGCCAGUUUUGCGAGAAAGUCCUGAAACAGAUAGCAACUGCCCUGAAUCAAAUAGUUAUCCCUCAAUUAGU
rnacentral:lncRNA from 12 species